UACGAAGGGUGCAAGCGUUACUCGGAAUUACGGGGCGUAAAGCGUGCGUAGGUGGUGAGUUAAGUCUGUCGUGAAAGCCCCGGGCUCAACCUGGGAAUGGCGAUGGAUACUGGCUCGCUAGAGUGCGGUAGAGGAGAGUGGAAUUCCCGGUGUAGCAGUGAAAUGCGUAGAGAUCGGGAGGAACAUCAGUUGCGAAGGCGGCUCUCUGGACCAGCACUGACACUGAGGCACGAAAGCGUGGGGAGCAAACAGG
rnacentral:rRNA from 1 species